CCCAGACUCCUACGGGAGGCAGCAGUGAGGAAUAUUGGUCAAUGGGCGGAAGCCUGAACCAGCCAAGUCGCGUGAGGGAAGACUGCCCUAUGGGUUGUAAACCUCUUUUGUCAGGGAGCAACGCCGGCUACGUGUAGCCGGACUGAGAGUACCUGAAGAAAAAGCAUCGGCUAACUCCGUGCCAGCAGCCGCGGUAAUACGGAGGAUGCGAGCGUUAUCCGGAUUUAUUGGGUUUAAAGGGUGCGUAGGCGGGAUGCCAAGUCAGCGGUAAAAAUGCGGUGCUCAACGCCGUCGAGCCGUUGAAACUGGCGUUCUUGAGUGGGCGAGAAGUAUGCGGAAUGCGUGGUGUAGCGGUGAAAUGCAUAGAUAUCACGCAGAACUCCGAUUGCGAAGGCAGCAUACCGGCGCCCUACUGACACUGAGGCACGAAAGCGUGGGUAUCGAACAGGAUUAGAUACCCCAGUA
rnacentral:rRNA from 1 species